rnacentral:tRNA from 1 species
UCUAAUGUGGCAGAAAAAUGUAAUGAAUUUAAGAUUCAUAAAUAAAUAUAAAUAUUUCUUUAGAA